GACGAACGCUGGCGGCGUGCCUAAUACAUGCAAGUAGAACGCACAGUUUAUACCGUAGCUUGCUACACCAUAGACUGUGAGUUGCGAACGGGUGAGUAACGCGUAGGUAACCUGCCUGGUAGCGGGGGAUAACUAUUGGAAACGAUAGCUAAUACCGCAUAAUAUUGAUUAUUGCAUGAUAAUUGAUUGAAAGAUGCUAUUGCAUCACUACCAGAUGGACCUGCGUUGUAUUAGCUAGUAGGUGAGGUAACGGCUCACCUAGGCGACGAUACAUAGCCGACCUGAGAGGGUGAUCGGCCAAACUGGGACUGAGACACGGCCCAGACUCCUACGGGAGGCAGCAGUAGGGAAUCUUCGGCAAUGGACGAAAGUCUGACCGAGCAACGCCGCGUGAGUGAAGAAGGUUGUCGGAUCGUAAAGCUCUGUUGUAAGAGAAGAACGGGUGGGAGAGUGGAAAGUUCACACUGUGACGGUAUCUUACCAGAAAGGGACGGCUAACUACGUG
rnacentral:rRNA from 1 species